UACGUAGGGCGCAAGCGUUGUCCGGAUUUAUUGGGCGUAAAGAGCUCGUAGGCGGCUUGUCACGUCGGGUGUGAAAGCCCGGGGCUUAACCCCGGGUCGGCAUUCGAUACGGGCAGGCUAGAGUGUGGUAGGGGAGAUCGGAAUUCCUGGUGUAGCGGUGAAAUGCGCAGAUAUCAGGAGGAACACCGGUGGCGAAGGCGGAUCUCUGGGCCAUUACUGACGCUGAGGAGCGAAAGCGUGGGGAGCGAACAGG
rnacentral:rRNA from 1 species